UACAGGUAAUUACAACAGGAAGUCCUGG
rnacentral:piRNA from 1 species